rnacentral:rRNA from 1 species
CCUAACACAUGCAAGUCGAACGGUAACAGGAAACAGCUUGCUGUUUCGCUGACGAGUGGCGGACGGGUGAGUAAUGUCUGGGAAACUGCCUGAUGGAGGGGGAUAACUACUGGAAACGGUAGCUAAUACCGCAUAACGUCGCAAGACCAAAGAGGGGGACCUUCGGGCCUCUUGCCAUCAGAUGUGCCCAGAUGGGAUUAGCUAGUAGGUGGGGUAACGGCUCACCUAGGCGACGAUCCCUAGCUGGUCUGAGAGGAUGACCAGCCACACUGGAACUGAGACACGGUCCAGACUCCUACGGGAGGCAGCAGUGGGGAAUAUUGCACAAUGGGCGCAAGCCUGAUGCAGCCAUGCCGCGUGUAUGAAGAAGGCCUUCGGGUUGUAAAGUACUUUCAGCGGGGAG